GGAAGGAGCCCGGGAGCCACCGCGGCCUGUGUGCCUGGUGGCGAUGGGAAAGGGAACAAAGCCUCUGUGGUGGUGCAGGAGGAAGCCUGAGUUCUCACCGUUGUCCAUAGAUCCCCGUUUCUUCUCUGCAACUGAAUGAGUCUGGAGGAAAACACACGAUGGGCUGAGCAGUCUCAUCUUAAAUCCAUGUCCACUAAGCUCAAGAGGCCCCGUGGCAUUCCAGGGACGAGCACGUGACUCGAGAAGAGCUAAUCAGAGUCCUCCCAUAAGAUUUUUCAUCUGUGAAUGCUGGUGAGAAGAAGAUGCUUCUCUUUCCUCUGGAGUCCAGAAUGAUGCAAGCCUGGAACUUGGUGUGGCCAUGACAUCUAUCUUCAGGGAACAGAAAGAUCUUGGGAAGAGGAGAGACACCAGGAGACAGGUGUAUGAAGACACGGGAAAGGAAGAGCGCCGCGUGACUGAAGAUGAAGGCAGAAGCUGGAGUGAGGAUCUUAAGGCAAGGCCAGCAACCGGCAGGAGCUGGGAGGGGUGAGGAAGCGCUCUCCUCCAGAGCUUUCAGAGGCAGCAUGGCCCUGUGGACACCUUGAUUUCAGAGUUCCAGCCUCCAGAGCUGUGAGACAAUAAAUUCCUGUUGUUUUUAGCCACCCACUUUGUG